GGAGACGUGGCAGAGCGGCCGAAUGCACUGGUCUUGAAAACCAGCGUGGGGAAACUCACCGAGGGUUCAAAUCCCUCCGUCUCCGCCA
rnacentral:tRNA from 12 species